UACAGAGGUGGCAAGCGUUGUUCGGAAUUACUGGGCGUAAAGGGCGCGUAGGCGGUCUCGUAAGUCCUGUGUGAAAUCCCCCGGCUCAACUGGGGAACUGCACAGGAAACUGCGGGACUUGAGUUCGGGAGAGGGAAGCGGAAUUCCAGGUGUAGCGGUGAAAUGCGUAGAUAUCUGGAGGAACACCGGUGGCGAAGGCGGCACUCUGGGCCGAUACUGACACUGAGGAGCGAAAGCGUGGGGAGCGAACAGG
rnacentral:rRNA from 1 species